rnacentral:rRNA from 1 species
GACGAACGCUGGCGGCGUGCCUAAUACAUGCAAGUUGAGCGCUGAAGGUUGGUACUUGUACCGACUGGAUGAGCAGCGAACGGGUGAGUAACGCGUGGGGAAUCUGCCUUUGAGCGGGGGACAACAUUUGGAAACGAAUGCUAAUACCGCAUAAAAACUUUAAACACAAGUUUUAAGUUUGAAAGAUGCAAUUGCAUCACUCAAAGAUGAUCCCGCGUUGUAUUAGCUAGUUGGUGAGGUAGAGGCUCACCAAGGCGAUGAUACAUAGCCGACCUGAGAGGGUGAUCGGCCACAUUGGGACUGAGACACGGCCCAAACUCCUACGGGAGGCAGCAGUAGGGAAUCUUCGGCAAUGGACGAAAGUCUGACCGAGCCACGCCGCGUGAGUGAAGAAGGUUUUCGGAUCGUAAAACUCUGUUGGUAGAGAAGAACGUUGGUGAGAGUGGAAAGCUCAUCAAGUGACGGUAACUACCCAGAAAGGGACGGCUAACUACGUG